rnacentral:rRNA from 1 species
AUUGAACGCUGGCGGCAGGCCUAACACAUGCAAGUCGAACGGUAACAGGAAGAAGCUUGCUUCUUUGCUGACGAGUGGCGGACGGGUGAGUAAUGUCUGGGAAACUGCCUGAUGGAGGGGGAUAACUACUGGAAACGGUAGCUAAUACCGCAUAACGUCGCAAGACCAAAGAGGGGGACCUUCGGGCCUCUUGCCAUCGGAUGUGCCCAGAUGGGAUUAGCUAGUAGGUGGGGUAACGGCUCACCUAGGCGACGAGCCCUAGCUGGUCUGAGAGGAUGACCAGCCACACUGGAACUUAGACACGGUCCAGACUCCUACGGGAGGCAGCAGUGGGGAAUAUUGCACAAUGGGCGCAAGCCUGAUGCAGCCAUGCCGCGUGUAUGAAGAAGGCCUUCGGGUUGUAAAGUACUUUCAGCGGGGAGGAAGGGAGUAAAGUUAAUACCUUUGCUCAUUGACGUUACCCGCAGAAGAAGCACCGGCUAACUCCGUG